rnacentral:piRNA from 1 species
UCCCUAACUAGUGACCCAUGGAAGCUU